UCCUUCCGAGUACUAUCAAUUACUUUCUCCUCGAUAAAAGAUGUUUACGUCCCUAAGGACUUCAUCCAUCACGCGGCGUCGCUCCGUCAGACUUUCGUCCAUUGCGGAAGAUUCUCGACUGCUGCCUCCCGUAGGAGUCCCCCCGUGCCCCCGCCCCGCCCGCCGCGCGCGGCGGGCGGGGCGGGGGCACGGGGGGACUCCUACGGG
rnacentral:rRNA from 1 species